rnacentral:ribozyme from 15 species
GGCUGACAAAACCCUGUCCCAACCUCCACGUGGUGUCGGCUGGAUAAUGCUGCAUUAUGUUGCAUUUACCAACUGGGAAGG